rnacentral:misc_RNA from 1 species
CAGAGUCGUAAAACACUCCCAAACCCAUGUGAACUUACCUUUGUUGCCUCGGCAGGUCCUACCCUGUAGCUACCCUGUAGCUACCCGGUAGCCUGCCGGUGGACCAUUCAACUCUUGUUAUUUUAUGGAAAUCUGAGCGUCUUAUUUAAUAAGUCA